rnacentral:tRNA from 1 species
GCCCCUGUAGGGUAGUGGAUAUCCUUGGAGCCUCCGGAGCUCUAGACCGGGGUUCGAAUCCCCGCGGGGGCG